rnacentral:rRNA from 1 species
GACGAACGCUGGCGGCGUGCUUAACACAUGCAAGUCGAACGGAAAGGCCCUGCUUUUGUGGGGUGCUCGAGUGGCGAACGGGUGAGUAACACGUGAGUAACCUGCCCUUGACUUUGGGAUAACUUCAGGAAACUGGGGCUAAUACAGGAUAGGAGCUCCUGCUGCAUGGUGGGGGGUGGAAAGUUUCGGCGGGUGGGGAUGGACUCGCGGCUUAUCAGCUUGUUGGUGGGGUAGUGGCUUACCAAGGCUUUGACGGGUAGCCGGCCUGGGAGGGUGACCGGCCACAUGGGGACUGCGAUAGGGCCCAGUCUCCUACGUGGGGCAGCAGUGGGGAAUAUUGCACAAUGGGCGGAAGCCUGAUGCAGCAGCGCCGCGUGUGUGAUGCCGGCCUGCGGGUUGUAAACCGCUUUCGCCUGUGACGAAGCGUGAGUGACGGUAAUGGGUAAAGAAGCACCGGCUAACUACGUG